UACGUAGGGGGCAAGCGUUGUCCGGAUUUAUUGGGCGUAAAGCGCGCGCAGGCGGUCUCUUAAGUCUGAUGUGAAAGCCCACGGCUCAACCGUGGAAGGUCAUUGGAAACUGGGAGACUUGAGUGUAGGAGAGGAAAGUGGAAUUCCACGUGUAGCGGUGAAAUGCGUAGAGAUGUGGAGGAACACCAGUGGCGAAGGCGACUUUUUGGCCUAUAACUGACGCUGAGGCGCGAAAGCGUAGGGAUCAAACAGG
rnacentral:rRNA from 1 species